CACCGGCGGCCCGAGUGGUGGCCACUAUUAUUGGGUCUAAAGGGUCCGUAGCCGGUUUGGUCAGUCUUCCGGGAAAUCUGACGGCUUAACCGUUAGGCUUUCGGGGGAUACUACCAGGCUUGGGACCGGGAGAGGUAAGAGGUACUACGGGGGUAGGAGUGAAAUCUUGUAAUCCCUGUGGGACCACCAGUGGCGAAGGCGUCUUACCAGAACGGGUCCGACGGUGAGGGACGAAAGCUGGGGGCACGAACCGGAUUAGAUACCCGGGUAGUCCCAGCUGUAAACUAUGCUCGCUAGGUGUCAGGGACGGUGCGACCGUUUCUGGUGCCGCAGGGAAGCCGUGAAGCGAGCCACCUGGGAAGUACGGUCGCAAGGCUGAA
rnacentral:rRNA from 1 species